rnacentral:tRNA from 1 species
GCCUGGGUGGCUCAGUCGGUUGAGCGUCUGACUUCAGCUCAGGUCAUGAUCUCACAGUUCGUGAGUUCGAGCCCCAUGUCAGGCU